rnacentral:piRNA from 1 species
UGCAUUUUGGACAUGUGUUAC